UUAUCGAGUUUUCUGCCGUUAGAAGUUCUCUUUGAUCAUUUUCACCCAUUUGAACAUACUAUUCAAACCAAGCACUCCCUCAACCCUAAAGGACCACUAUUAAUCAGAGACUACUAUCAUUCUAAUCGCACAUCUUUUAUCUAAUGACCAAAAAUUCGAUAGCGUAAAAUGUUUGAUACUAUCGAUAGCAUAGUAGCAUAAUUCUCCACACACACACACACACACACACACACACACACACAUAGAGUGAGGCUACCAUGCUUCUGGAAUUACGGAGCCUUCCGUGCUUCCAGGUCGUUUUUUAUGUUGCGACUUUCGAAUCGUCGAUCGGCUCCGUUAAACUUGAUGUAGAGUAUUUGAAGUACCUAGAAAAUAAAUUAUGCGAUUUUUCGAUAUUAUUUGCCUAGUGAACGAAGGGGCUCAAAAUCAAUGGCUGAAAAUAAAAAUCUUACAAAACGUGAUAAUAUGACAUUAAAAUUUUAGAUCAAAGAUAUUGAUCUUGUUUUAUAUAGUAUAAAGAAUUUUCUACCAAAAUUUUACUUGAUUUGGAUAUUUCUAUACUGUUAAACACGCAAACGGCUCACUACGGCCAUUAAAAUUAUUGAUUUUGAGCCGCUUCGAUCACUAGGCAAAUGAUAUCGAAAAAUUAUAAAAUUUAUUUUCUAGGUACUUCAAAUACUCUAGAUUAAGUUUAAUGGAGCCGAUCGAUGAUUCGAAAGUCGC
rnacentral:lncRNA from 1 species